rnacentral:rRNA from 1 species
GACGAACCGUACGAACGUUAUUCGGAAUCACUGGGCUUAAAGGGUGCGUAGGCGGCGCGACAAGUUGGGUGUGAAAUCCCUCGGCUCAACCGAGGAACUGCGCCCAAAACUGUCGUGCUCGAGGGUGACAGAGGUGAGCGGAACUUAGGGUGGAGCGGUGAAAUGCGUUGAUAUCCUAAGGAACACCGGUGGCGAAAGCGGCUCACUGGGUCUCUUCUGACGCUGAGGCACGAAAGCUAGGGUAGCGAACGGG